AUUUAAGUCAAAUCAGAGUCCUGUAACGUUAAUAAUGAUCUGUAAAAGGGUAAAAAAGACAAUUCCCUCAGUGACGCUACCUCGUUCUUUCCGAUGUCUUGCCCCUCUCCCCUCUCUAUUUGCGCACCAGCUAUAAAACAACUACCAUUUCUUCAAUCUUCAUAUUCUCUUUGUAUGAAAAAUCACUUUUUUUUAAUGAAAAAGCCUGCCAUUUGAUUGUAAAAAAUUCACAGAAAAAGGAAAUAAUCAGAAAUGUGUGGAGGAGCUAUAAUAUCGGAUUUGUUGCUGCCGAGCCGAACAUCGCGCAAGCUGACUGCUGACUUGCUAUGGGGCAGUGGCGGCGGCCCCGCCGCCGAUCUGGGCAACGGCAAGAGGAAGAUUCCGGGGAGUAACCACUCAAAACCACUGAGAUCUAAGCCGGUUGUUCAUAUUGACGAUGAUUUCGAGGCUGAUUUUCAGGACUUUAAGGAUCGCUCCGAUGAUGAAGUGGUGACCGAUGUCAAGCCUUUUGCCUUCUCUGCUUCCAAAAACUCCAACCUUCGGGGUAAUUAAAUAUAUUUUUUUUAAUCCUUUUUUCCCCUUAUUUUAUUAUUGUUUUCAGGGUUUUUAUUUUUUUAUUUUUAUAUAAUCGUCUGAUGUUUGUUGCUUGAUGUAAAUAGCUAACGUUUUGAUGUUAGAAAUGUUGUUUUUGACUCUGAUAAUUAGCUCUAGUGCUUGAUUACGAUUUCCUGUUUUAGGAUAGAUGUUUGGAUAUUACAUAAGUUUUUAGUGAGAAAAUAUUGAUUUUUGUGGUUGUGAAUGAUAUAAUUGGGUUGGUUUUGUGUUAUUUUUUGGAUUAAAAAUUGCAAUUUAUCGAUAUUAAUGUGGAUUUAAGAAUGAUCUUGUGGAAAUAUUGGAAUAUGUAUGGAGUUGCUAUUUUGAUGAAAGGUUUUUGUUUGGAAGAAAAAAAUAAAAAAAUGGGGAUUGAUAUCAGCGUUUCUGAUUUAUGUUUCUUUUGAUACAAUCAGAUAUAUCUGGGAUUAGAUAAUCAUUUUUAUCUAAAUUUGCUCAUUCUGAAACUAAUAUUUUUUAUCCAGACUAGAUCAUAAGAAUGAUCUUUCUGCAAGAGAGAGAAAAUUUCCUUGAUCUCUCACAUAAGUUUGUAAUUUUAUUUUAUUCUUCCUUGAGGUUGGUGUGGGAUUCAAAAUUGCUCAUGUCAAAUGCAAGAUUCAAUUGUCUUACAUCAAAACCUGGUCUUUCAGAAUUUCUGUUUCUCUUUGAUAUUGUAGGGGAAAGGAAAUAACUGGAUGAAUAUAAAUUUUGAAUGUUAAUCAUGUAAGUUUCAGCAAAACUUGUAAUAUUCUCUCUCUCAGGUUGAUUAGAUGUACGGUUCUUACGUUUUCAUGACUUUGAUAGUACUUCCAUGAACAUCGAGAUUGUUUGUAUUCGGUUUCUGAAUCAGAGUAGAAGCAUUUUUUGCAUUGAGAACAAACAUUGUGUCUCUUUGUUUUUUCACUUGUGGGGAUAGAUGAAGCAAUUGGAUUAUAUAAACUGAAAUCCCUUUUUUUUUUUUUUUUUCAAAUUAAAUCUGUGUUUGUAAUUUUAUGGUAUCUUGAUCUCUUGCUUCAACUUUGUUUAUAUUAUUCUUUUUNGACUUCGGGUGGGGAGAAAAUUGUGCUAAAACUCCAGAAAUUUCAUCCGUCCUCUCGGCUGUUGUUGAAGACAAUCAAACUCAAUUUGUGGAGGAUGCUAGCCCAGCAAAGAAACUCAAGUCAGAUUCUGGAGAUCUGGUGCCUGCUGCUGAAAACACCGAAGAUCCAUCGUUUGAGUCCCAGAUGAAGCCCUUUCAGAUGCCAUAUCUGGAUGGAAAUUGGGAAGCUUCACUCGAUGCAUUCCUCAAUGGAGAUGCAAUUCAAGAUGGUGGGAACGAAAUGGAUCUUUGGUCAUUUGAUGAUGUUCCAGCCAUGCUGGGUGGAGUUUACUGAGCACCAUUUCUGGCUAUCUGUACAUAAAUCUUCAUGUUAGUGAAUUUUGUCUCUUUUUCAGCUCUUAAUAUCUUUAUUUAAAUCCAAUCUGCACUUGAUAAAGCAUAACCGCUUGCUGGUUUUCUCCCUUUUUGUCUUCUUAGGUGCGUUGUUGAUGGUCGUCGUGGAUGGAAAUUCAAGCAUGCUUUGGUGCUGUAGAAGACUGGCUAAAUAAGCAUUACAUAGGCAAUAGGGAUCGAACUAUCUUUUGAGACUUUUAAUUUGGGAUGAUUUUAAAUUUGUCUGUGUGGAUGUUAAAAGACACGUAAACUGAUGUUUCUGUUAUGCCGUGUUUGUUGGUUGCUACAUUAUAUCUUUCUUCUUGUAGACGUAUGCUAUUUUUCCUAAAGCAUUAUGACUUCAUUACCAGCGUCUUGUUUUCUGUAUACUAAGGUGGAGAUAGGAUUCGAGACCCUGUUUUCCUUCUCUUUCGGUCGAUUUUUGAAUCCUAAACUGCUUCUCUUGUGACUAUGAAGUUUAGAAUUAAUAGAAUGAGAUCAGUAUGUGUGUCUAGAAAAUAUUCAACUGUUAGUUUUUGAAUCAGGAAGUCCUGAAAUAGCAUGUUUUAAUACGGUACAAUAAAUAAGAUUUUAUUGUCUUUUUAUUUUUUAAUAUUUGUUCAACUCUAUUCGAUACGAGCAGGUAGGACUGGUAGCACCAUUGACUUGGUAUAGAAUUUUAGGAAGCGUGUGCAGCAGCAGUUUAGAUACUAUGAGUAUUUGCAAGUUUGGUUGAGAAUAUUAGGUGAACAGACGCUGUCUGAUUUGAUAUAAUUUUAAGGAGUUUUCUUAGGCUACAUAAUUUGGUGUACCGAAGGGUGUACACCUUUUACAUGGUGGGGUAUACUUGAAUAUUUUAUUAACGUGGAUCCUUUUUUUUUUU
rnacentral:lncRNA from 1 species